rnacentral:lncRNA from 1 species
CAGAAUUCAACAAAUUAAAGUGCCAAACCAGUCCAGAAUUCUUAUAUGCCUCAUACUUACUCCUGAUACAGAUCAACAAAAACUUGACACUUGCAAGAAACCAUCAGAGGACUCCGCUAGAAAAUUUACCAUUUUAAAUCCCAAGGCUGAAUGGAACCUUGCUUCCUGCCACAUUUGUAGGUUUCUCCUCCGUAUACACACAUAAAACUCAAAUACAGAGGAGUCCUUGGGCCACUGUAAUGAAGAGGACAUCUUCAUAAAUUACAAAUAUCAAUGAAAACUACGUUGAUCAUAGAAACAAGAUAAGUAGAACAAACAAAAGGCCAGAGACACUCAUCUCCGCCAAUUUCUCCCUAAGUUCAGAUCGCCAAAUUAAUCCUAGCAACAGCCGAAAACAUAAAUCAUGUAUCCUUGUUAAUUAGUUGAUCGCCAAAUACCACAACUUAUACCAUCCCACAUUACAUUCAUAGGCUAUCGCAGAACUUCUUAUUCUCGCCAUAGCUUUUGCAGUCCCAUCCCCCUAUAACAGACACAUGGAACUUAAGGAAUCAAGAAAACUAAAUUCCUAAGAGACACCCGUGACGAAUUAGUAUUUAGAGUGGAGAUCACCAAGUGGAAGUAUACCGAAUAGUCAGAAUUAAGUCACAGCUAAUUGCAGAUUUCUGCUCCAUGUGCAACAACAUAAAUUUAUGAUUCCUUGCUGUGACAAAGAUAUACAGAUUUGGGGGAAAAGAUUCUUAUUCUCAUAUAUCACAGAUAACAAAAAGAAUGGCAGAUUUCGAGAACAAAUAAACUCCAAACCAGGCGGUUCAGAAUAAAUAGUAUGUUAACCUUUGGCUUCCACAGAUCACAGCACACCAAAUAUUCAUAGUCUGUUCAAAAGAACCAAGGGAAGUUGAAGAGUCUCAAACAAAGACAGUUAUCUUCAAUUUCUCCACUUUCCAGAUACUAUUGAAAAGGUGCAGUGUGAUUGAGAAAGAAGUUAACAUUUGUGGUACACCAAACCCAUGUAACACUAACCCCGUUAACACCAGAUGAAAAUGUACAGAAAAUUAUGCUGUAACAAAUAGGUUGCAACAAAAAGAACUAAGAGAGAAAGAAUAGCAGCCUGAUUCCUCUAAUCAAGUUGAAGAUCAGCAGCAUAACAAAGAGCGGCCCCAUCAAGCUAUCCCAGCAUCUCUAGAAUGGCAUAAACUUUGCACCGUUGAAAAAGUAGUAUUGAUAGCAACAACUUCUAAGGGUGACCUUCUCAAUUGAACAUCAAUAAAAAUCGGCAAAAAAGAAAGCAACCAAAUUGAAUGUUACUGUCAUUUAACACACAACAUUGCAUCAAAACAACAUAUUUUCAAUUUAACAUGUAUGAAAAUAAAAGUCAGAACCAAAUCAUUUACUGUUUAUACAACUUUGCACUUUACUGUUUAUACAAAUGAUUUGUUAGAGAAAUUCAAGUUUGUUUUUUUAUUUAUAUCAAACUGUUUCUUCCUAUGUGUGUUAUUGAAUGAACUAUGAAGGAGUUGCCUCAACAUGUUGAAAAUUUUGAGAAAAUGCAAGUCAUGUUGACUAUCCUUGAACUUCUUUUAGCAAGUCUUUUUUAAGCACAUCCUUUCUGUUCUUGUUUUGAACAAAGUAGGUAUAAAAAAAAAAUUAAGAGAGAACCUCAAAACAAAAUCUGGCUAAACCACAACAACUUCAAACACAAAUCUAAAAACAUGAGUGAGUGUCUAAAGCUCAGACCAAAUCCUAGCAAUGCAUCAAACUUCCUAACCUUCGCACUAGAAACGUACCAAAAUUCAAUAUGUGGACUAAUGCUUCCGCAAUUUCCGAAGUUCUUUGUCCACUGCAUUGUCUAUUUCUCGAAUGCAGCUACGAAGCUUAAUCCACCGCGUCAUGGGUAAUGAGAUACCUGAACAAGAGUAAAAUUUCAUUGCAAAUUCUUCAUUUUUGUUUUCAUUGCAAAUGAAGAAUUUGCAAUGAAAUUUUAUACUUGUUUUCAGGUAUCUCAUUACCCAUGACGCAGUGGAUUAAGCUUCGUAGCUGCAUUCGAGAAAUAGCAGUGGACAAAGAACUUAGGAAAUUGCGGAAGCAUUAGUCCACAUAUUGAAUUUUGGUACGUUUCUAGUGCGAAGGUUAGGAAGUUUGAUGCAUUGCUAGGAUUCGGUCUGAGCUUUAGGCACUCACUCAUGUUUUUAGAUUUGUGUUUGAAGUUGUUGUGGUUUAGCCAGAUUUUGUUUUGAGGUUCUCUCUUAAUUUUUUUUAUACCUACUUUGUUCAAAACAAGAACAGGAAGGAUGUGCUUAAAAAAGACUUGCUAAAAGAAGUUCAAGGAUAGUCAACAUGACUUGCAUUUUCUCAAAAUUUUCAACAUGUUGAGGCAACUCCUUCAUAAUUCAUUCAAUAACACACAUAGGAAGAAACAGUUUGAUAUAAAUAAAAAAACAACCUUGAAUUUCUCUAACAAAUCAUUUGUAUAAACAGUAAAGUGCAAAGUUGUGUGUUAAAAUAGAAAAGGAUUAUAGCAGAGGAAGGGACAAAUCAACAAAUUAAAGUGCCAAACCAGUCCAGAAUUCAACAAAUUAAAGUGCCAAACCAGUCCAGAAUUCUUAUAUGCUUCAUACUCACUCCUGAUACAGAUCAACAAAAACUUGACACUUGCAAGAAACCAUCAGAGGACACCGCUAGAAAUUACCAUUUUUAUCCCAAGGCUGAAUGGAACCUCGCUUCUUGCCACAUUUAUAGGUUUCUCCUUCGUAUCACACACAUAAAACUCAAAUACAGAGGAGUCCUUGGGCCACUGUAAUGAAGAGGACAUCUUCAUAAAUUACAAAUAUCAAUGAAAACUACGUUGAUCAUAGAAACAAGAUAAGUAGUACAAACAAAAGGACAGAGACACUCAUCUCCGCCAAUUUCUCCCUAAGUUUAGAUCGCCAAAUAAAUCCUAGCAACAGUUGAAAACAUAAAUCAUGUUGUUAAUUAGUUGACAGAAGAUAAGUAGUACAAAUGGAGGCACUCAACUCCACCAAUUUCUCGCUAAAUUCAGAUUGCCAAAUCAAUCCUAGCAAUAGACGAAAACGUAUAUCAAAUCAUGUAUUAAUUAGUUGACAGAAGUUAAGUAGUACAAAAGAUAGAGGCACUCAUCUCCACCAAUUUCUCCCCAAGUCCAGAUUGCCAAAUCAAUCCUAGCAACAGUUGAAAUUUUAUGUCAAGUCACGUAUUCUUGUUAAUUACGUAUAUCAAAUCAUUUAUCCUUGUUAAUUAGUUGACAGAAGAUAAGUAGUACAAAGGAAAGAGGCACUAAUCACCAAUUUCUCCCUAUGUUCAGAUUGGCAACUCAAUCCUAUCAACAGUCGAAAGUCUAUAUCAAAUCAAAUAUCCUUUUUAUAAGUAAGUAGCACAAACCAAUUUCUCCAUUUCAGAAGGAAAACUUAAAAGUGAAAUGUGAUUGGAGACUUCUGUUGCACUUCAAACCUAUGUAACACUUAACCAUGACAAACAGACGGAAGAUAGUUUAAAUCUCCAAACCAAGCCGUUGUUAGACAUAUCAGAACUCCAGCUAUGUUUCCAAGUUCCACAAAACAUAACUGUUACCUAUUACUCAAACCUUAAACACAAAACAACAUCUGUUGACGAUUAAUAAUACUUGCUGUAACAUAGAAAUUAGAGAACAAUCAAUUAUAACCCAAACAAACUAAACAAUCAGAUCAUUACAUAAGAACUGCAAACAUCAGUCUACCAAAGAAUCAACCAGAAAAGAAUAACAUGAGGAUCAAACAAGAGAAUGAUAGAUAGAAUCGUAAGAAAUCAUACAUAGAUUAUUGCUCCUGCAACACCAAAGAGUAACGAAUCAAGAAAUAUUCACUCUCAGAGUAGUUAAAGAAAUAUUGAAAACAAAUAGAUUAUGAUAGAUAUCACCAAAUAAAUACACUAGGCUCUAUGCUGCGAAGGAAGUCAUCGGUUUGACAAACCGUGCUGCAGACAAAAAUGUUCAAAAUUCAAUGUUUAUAAAUACACUAGGCUCUAUGCCUUGCUAUCAAAUCCCAGAAAAAAUUAAAAUAAUAAAGGACUCAUUAAAGAAAAAUCGUUUAUCUAUCAGAAGCCGUUCCCCUGUUCUUGUCCAUUACAUCAAGUCUCCUAGAUUUUAAGACUUCCCUGCUCACAGUACAACGGAUAAACGGAUCUUCGAUUAUCAAAGGAAGACUUAUAUCGAAAAAUAACACAAAUAGAAAGAAAGAAAAGAAAAAGAAAAAGAAAAGAAAAACAUGAGAGUGUGAAAUAUAUGCUCUCAGGAGCAUUGAAUUUACUAGAUAAAGAUCACCACAAAAAUACUCAAGGCUCCAUGCUCAGAAGGAGGUUCUUACUUAGACACACCAAGCUGCAGAAAAAGCAUGUUCACAGUUCAAUUCUUCUCAUAAUCAAUAGCUUGAAAUUAAAAACAAUAAAGUGAAUCACUGAAGAAAUUCGAUUUAUCUAUUUGAAGCCAUUCUCCGUUCAUAUCCUUUGUGUCAAGAAUCGUAAAAUGUUUCUAGUUUUCAAGAAUUCUGCCACUUGCUGCAAAAUGGUUAAACAUAUAUCUCCAUCAUCUAAUUAUGAAAAACUAGAACCAAUAGUUCAAAAAUAAACAUAUAACUCUUGAAAAAAACGAUCCAUAAAAGAAGAGAGAAAACUGUGAAAUUCUUGAUAUCUACAUUCCAAAAAAGGAUAUCGAAACACCAAUCCAUAAAGAUCAAAAACCCAAGCGAAAGGAUAAAUUCCAGACUCCUGCACUGAGGCUCCUGAUACAAAAACAUAAAAACUGCAACACUAGCAGGGCACACCAUCAGAGCAUAACUAUCCCAUCCCAACACAAAUCAACAUGCAUGAAAAAAAUAACCAAUUUUUAGUCGCAAGGUUGAAUGAAAAGUAAGAGGUAUGACCAGCUUUAUUCCAAUACUAAACAAAAGUAAGAAAACCUAAAUGAGAUUCCAUCAGACAGUCUCAAUUUCUCCAGCAUUGUGUAAACUAUCACACUGUCAGAUUACAUCAAAAACCAAAAUGUAAUGAAUCAGCAGUAUGAUGGUGUUAGAAAAACUAAAGCUGAACUUCUCAGAUAUAAACAAGAGGAAGAUCAAUAGAACCAGAGUAUGUUCACCGAUCACUUCUCCUGCAACACGGAAGAGUAAAUAACAAAAAAAGAAAAAAGAAAAAAGAUAUAGGAUGUCGAUAAAAAAUUUAUAAAAUGAAAAGAAUUUAAUAGAGAUCACCAAAUAAAAAUGCUAGGCUCCAUGCCAUGAAGACGGUUAUUAGUGUGACAAACCAUAUGCUGCAGGAAAAUAUGUUCAAAAUUCAAAUGGUACGUCUUGCAAUUGAAUGCCAGAAAUUAAAAUAAUAAAGAAUUGCUCAAUAAAGAAAUUUAAUAUUUAUCUAUCUGGAGCUGUUGUUCUUUCAAGGUGUAUAAAAACUUUCUAGAUAAUGCAGACUUCACAGCUCACUGCAAGAUGGAUAGCAUCGCCAGAUUAUCAAAUGAAGAAUUAUAUCCCAAAAAGUACAGAGACAAGUUUUGAUAACCAAUUUGUAAACAAAGAGUCAAGAGAAGUGUUAAAAUUCAUGAUAUCUAUAAUCUGAGGGGACCAUAUAAUAAGCGAGUCCCUAAUGCUCAUGUUGCUAGCAGGAGAACCCUGAAAUCAAGCAAUCAUGGAGCAGAACAAUACAGCCAACAGGUUAAGAAAACAAGAAACGAAAGAAAGUUUUUGAACAAGAAUAAACAAACUUCAGAAUUAAAAAAUCGAAAUCAUCUCUCGUGUAACGCCAAAAAGUAAAUUAACAAUUUAACAAUCCAAAAGUUACCAAAUGUAUGUCUCGAUUAUCCAAUGAAGUUUAUAUUCAAUAAUCCAAAAAUUACAGAAAUAAUUCUUGAUAACGGAUUGUAAAAGAAGAUUGAAGAGAAGUAUAACCCUAAGAUCUCGCUCAUAGGAAAACCUGAAAUUAAGCAAUCAAGGAGAAAACAACAUGUGGCUAAUGGAUCAAAAAACGAAAGAAAGUAGAAAGAAGAUCAUGAAAACUCUAGACUCAAGACAUCAAAAUCAUACAUGCUCUCCAACAACACUAAAGAUUGAACAAAAAGAGGCUCCAUGCUAUGAAUGAAGGAGAUCAUUAUUUUGACAAACCACACUGCAGAAAAUCAAUUUUAAAAAUUAACAAAUAAUGGCUCAUUGAAGAAGAGCGUUCUCCUUACUUAUCAAUUGAAUCAAGAAUACCUUGACUUUAGCUGCAAAAUCAACAAAAUCAAUAAAGAUUUAAACAUAAAGGAUUUACUACAUAUUACCAUAUUAAGAGUUGAGGUUCUAUGCUAUGAAUGAGGUUAUUAUUUGGACAAAACAAUCUGAAAAAGAAAGUUCAUGAUCCAAUUUUUACGUAUCGCACAUGAACCCAUAAAUGAAAAAGAAUACAAAAUUAGAGGAAGAAAGAUAGAACCAGAAGAAAUCGUGUUUUCAUAGAUAUUUCUCCUGAAACACCAAAAAGAUCACCAAAUCAAAAAAUCAACUGAAACUGAUUUAAUAAUACAUAAAAAACAAUGAAGAAAUUUUGAAAAGAAAAAUUUAACAGACAUCACCAAAUCCCCGCUUAGUUUGACAAACCACCACGCUGCAUAAUUUGUAUGCCUUCCAAUCAAAUCAAAAUAAAAUUAUUAAGAACUUAUUAAAGAAAUUUGAUUUAUCUAGCUGGAGCCGUUUUUGUCCCUUGUAUCAAGAGGUUUCACUGCAAAACCCAUAAAUGAUCUCUCGAUUAUCAAAUAAAGAAUUAAUUAAUUAUAUAAAAAUCUUGAGAAAAUAAUAAUUAUCAAAUGAAUUUUAAGAAAUUUUUUUGUAAAGAAGAGAAGUGUGAUUGUGUGAAAUUCUUGAUUCUUGAUAUCUACAAUCUGUUAAAAGUAUAUCCUUACGAUCCCGAUUAUAACAAACCUUGAAAUUAAGCAAUCACAGAGCAAAGAAUUAAGAAAGUAAAACACCAAAUCAAGAAAUCAAAAUUUCAUUCUCCAAAUCAACAAAGAAAGAUAUAACCAAAUCAAAUGUCCAGGCUCCAUGUUAUUCGUAUGAUGACAAACCACGCGCAUAAAUACAAAUCAUUGAAGAAAUUUGAUUCCGCUCUCUGUUCUUAUCUGUUGAAUCAAGAAUCUCAAAAACGUUCACCUUGCUGCAAAACCAUGAACACAUCUCAAAACGUUCACCUUGCUGCAAAACCAUGAACACCUAUCUACAUUAUCUAAUUAUUAUGGAGAGCUGUAUCCAAUAAUCAAAUAAUGAAUCAAAUAAUUAUUGAUAACCGAUGAUCCAUUGAGCAAGCGAUUUCUUUGUUCUCCGUUCUCAUAUGAAUAGCAAAACGAUCCAGAUUCCAAACUUAAGAUCGCUGCAAACGGAUAAACACAUAUAGAUAUUAUUUGAUUAUAAAUAAUCAUAUCCAAUAAUCAAAUAAUUAAUCAAAUAAUUCAUGAUAACCGAUUAUCCAUAAACUACAGAUGGAUAGAGCGAUUUUGGCAUUCUUUGUUGUCAUGUGAAUAGCAAAACGAUACAGAUUCCAAACUUAAGAUCACUGCAUAAUGGAUAAACACAUAUCGAUAUUAUCCAAUUAUGACGAACUAUAUCCAAUAAUCAAAUAAUAAUUGAUAACCGAUGAUCCCAGGGAUAGGUCGAGCAUUGAGCGAUUUUGGCGUUCUUCGUUUUCAUAUCCAGAUUCCAAACGUACGAUCGCUGCAAAACCGAUAAACACAUGUAUCGAUUUAUUCAAUUAUGAAGAACUACAUCCAAUAAUUCAAAAACUAUACAAAUAAUUCUCGAUAAACGAUGAUCCAUAAAAGAAGUGUGAAAUUCUUCAUAUCUAUGCAAUCCGAUAAACGCAAAUCCAUAUCGAUCGAUCAAAGAAAUCUGAACAACGAACAUGCAAAACUUUAGAAUCGAGAAAUCAAAAUCAUGAAUCAAAUUGAACAGAAAAGAAGAGGAAGAAGAAAGAAAGGAGAGAAAGAGAGAACAAACGAGAGGAGCGUAAAACGCUCUGUUUCGAUGCACUUUGGAAAGAGGGAACUUGUGAGGUUUAUAUAGUGCGUAGGGUCAGGUUUGACGGCUACGAUAACGCGUGUGGUGGAAACUUGGACGGUUAUGAUUGAACUAAAAUAAAACGGUUGACGCGUUCUCUUUCUAAAUAAGGCGGUGUGAAUUGUGUCUAACACGCUGGAUGAAAGUCGUUGUUGGUUUGCGUGUAUCGACCUAAAACUAAAGCUAUCUCUAAGAGCACAAAUAUCGGCAGUGUCUUUUGGCACAUAAGGUCCACGUGUGGCUACUAGUGUCAGGAAAGGAAUGGAUAAUUGCAUAACAGUUGGUAUCUUUUCUUGGCUACGGUUUCAAAUUCUACCACCGUGUCUUAAAGCAAUUCUUUCUCUUCCUCACACACAUUUUGAAAUAUAUUGUAAGAUUAGUGGGACCCAUUAUAAAUUUUGUAAGAAUGGUAUGGAUAUUUAGAAGAUGUAGUUGAGUGGUUUAAAUAAUUGAAAAGUGUGAAGUAAUAUAAAGUAUUACUGAGACCCAUUUAUACCAUCCAUGUAGAGUGGCAUGGAUGUGGGUGCUCUAAGAAGUCAUUGUUGUUUUCAUCAUAAUGCUGAAUCAAACAUUCCCUUCUUAUUUCUCUAUUUUAUGUUAAAUUCAAUUCUAAGGAUAAAGUGUACUUCUAUAUUUAAUACUCGCUUUGUUCCUUUCUAAGUGUCUCUUUCAAAGUUAAAAGUUCAACGCAACAUUAAAUGUUAUUUUACAAAUAUUAACCUUAGUUAUUUAUUGCGGAGUGAGAAAUAUAUUAAAUGAGAUAUUAAAUGAAUAAGGUUUCCCCUCGGAUUAGUCGAUUCUUGAUUCGGAUAACAAAUUUUCAAAAAAAAAAAAGAAUAAGGUCAUUAUAGUAAAAGUAGAACUUAUUGCAUCAAAAGUAAUAACAAUAAUUGACUAUCUUCGUUUAUGUAAGAUGUCAAAAUGUAACAAUUAAAAGGGAACGGAGGUAGUAUUUUCUUUUAAUAAUACUCCCUCCGUCCUAAGGUACCGUUUGGCCAAGCUUUUUUUCGGUCUAAAAGCUACUUUAAAACAAAGUUAAAAUAAAGCUCUUUAAGAAAAAGGCUAAAGCUGUUUGGUUUCUUUAUUUUUUUUUAGUUCUAAAGUUAUUUUUGAGUUAAAAGCUGUUUGGCAAAAUAUUGUACAAAACUUUGAAUUUAUUAUUUUUUGGUGGUGUNNNNNNNNNNNNNNNNNNNNNNNNNNNNNNNNNNNNNNNNNNNNNNNNNNNNNNNNNNNNNNNNNNNNNNNNNNNNNNNNNNNNNNNNNNNNNNNNNNNNNNNNNNNNNNNNNNNNNNNNNNNNNNNNNNNNNNNNNNNNNNNNNNNNNNNNNNNNNNNNNNNNNNNNNNNNNNNNNNNNNNNNNNNNNNNNNNNNNNNNNNNNNNNNNNNNNNNNNNNNNNNNNNNNNNNNNNNNNNNNNNNNNNNNNNNNNNNNNNNNNNNNNNNNNNNNNNNNNNNNNNNNNNNNNNNNNNNNNNNNNNNNNNNNNNNNNNNNNNNNNNNNNNNNNNNNNNNNNNNNNNNNNNNNNNNNNNNNNNNNNNNNNNNNNNNNNNNNNNNNNNNNNNNNNNNNNNNNNNNNNNNNNNNNNNNNNNNNNNNNNNNNNNNNNNNNNNNNNNNNNNNNNNNNNNNNNNNNNNNNNNNNNNNNNNNNNNNNNNNNNNNNNNNNNNNNNNNNNNNNNNNNNNNNNNNNNNNNNNNNNNNNNNNNNNNNNNNNNNNNNNNNNNNNNNNNNNNNNNNNNNNNNNNNNNNNNNNNNNNNNNNNNNNNNNNNNNNNNNNNNNNNNNNNNNNNNNNNNNNNNNNNNNNNNNNNNNNNNNNNNNNNNNNNNNNNNNNNNNNNNNNNNNNNNNNNNNNNNNNNNNNNNNNNNNNNNNNNNNNNNNNNNNNNNNNNNNNNNNNNNNNNNNNNNNNNNNNNNNNNNNNNNNNNNNNNNNNNNNNNNNNNNNNNNNNNNNNNNNNNNNNNNNNNNNNNNNNNNNNNNNNNNNNNNNNNNNNNNNNNNNNNNNNNNNNNNNNNNNNNNNNNNNNNNNNNNNNNNNNNNNNNNNNNNNNNNNNNNNAAAAGGUUGCCGGCGGGAGUUGAAGAGAGGUGCUUGUGAAAUAAAUUGGGAAGAAAUAGUUUUUUGAAGUAGCAUUCAACAACUUUUGGUUAAAGCUCAUUCCAUUCAAUUUUAUGCAUUCUAAAAAAAGUAUUUUUUUCGAAGGUACUUUAUUGAUAUUGUGUUUGACCUAGCUUCUCCUUAAAAACGUAGAAAACUUGAAAAAAAGACAGGCCAAACGGUACCUAAAUUAUAAGGAAAAAAACUCAUUUUCUUUGUUCCAAAUUAUAAGCAAAAAAGAUCAACUUUUAUCAUAUUUAAUUAUGUUUUUUCAAAAACUUAUCUUUUCUAAAAGAAAAUUAAAUCCAAAGUGCAUUCAAUUUGCUCUCCUUUUCAUUUUCUCUAUAAUCAACUACCAAUGAAAAUUGCUUUUACAUUUUCGUAUGAAAUUUAUUUCAAAGAUGACACAAAAAGCUAUGUUACAAACUACUAUGUUUUAGUUUUCUUAAUAAGUAUGAUUUUAUUUUUUUUUUUGCUUAUAAUAUGGGAUGGAGGGAGUACAUAAAUAUCUCAAUAAUAAUAAAGCAUAUUAUCAUGGUUAGUUAUCAUUAAAAACCUUAAGUGCAACCUUAUUAUCUCAAAACUAUUCUCAUAUUUUUUGUUGAUCUUGUCUAAUCUCAUUUGAUUUAAUAUCAAAUUUCACUUUUCGUUCCUUCAUUUGAUAUUUGAGAUAUGAUAAAUAACAAUAUCAAACUUCACCUUUCAGUCCUUCGUUUGAUAUUUGUUAUUAAGCUUAAAAAUGAUGAGAUUAGAUUAUAAAAAGAAUUAAAAUAAAAUAGAUUCUAAAUUUGGGUUGAGUAGGAUUCAAUCAUUUGAUUAGUUCAACAAUCUCAAGACUAGAAUAGUUUACUCACUCAUGAUCAUAGUAGACAAGGGAUUAAAAUAUAAAUACAUGAAAUAUAAAGGCAUGAAAAUAAAUAACUGAAAAUGUAAAGUGCAGAGAAAAUAAAAAACAAAAAUGCAAAGAGUUAGAACAAUAAAAUGUAGAAAAUUAAGAACAAAAAAGCUUAAAACAAUGUAAAACUUCGGUUUCAAUAUAGAGUAAACAGGCAUUCCAAUAUGAAAAUUCUUUUUUUAACAUCAGUUAUUUUCUAAAACCACAUGAAAAAUACCUAAAUAUCCCUAGCGAUAGUUAACUAUCAUUGAACAAAAUUGGUGGUACUUAACUACUGCUACGAUCAAAACCAGCGGUAGUAAACUACCGCUGCGACUUUCCCCCUAAAACCAGUACAACCCACACCCUACCUCCUAUUCAUCCAUCCCAUCGUAUCACCAUACUUAAAAAUCUCCCCAAAUUUUCCCCCCCAAAUCUUAGUUUCAAAUCAUUGGGGAAGGUUUGUGCACACGUUUGACGUCAAAAAACAUGUAAUGCAUCAUUUUUCUGCCAUUUUUUUUUCUUCUGACAUGCAACGUAGCGGUAGUUAACUACCUCUGAGAUUAGAACGCAGCUGCUGCUAACUAUUGUCAACUACCAUGGGGACUUUGAAUUUUCGCAACAGAAAAUUUAGGCAGUGCUCACUACCUAAUUUUUUUUUUUUUUUUUGUAUUUAAUUUAUAUUAGAUAGAUGUUAAUUAAAUAUUUUUUCAAUUAUAUGUUAUUUAUUUAUAGUUAUGGUUGAGAAUACGGAUGAUGAUCGGGUUGAUCCAAAACCUAGUUUUAUUGAUUAUUUCAUCGAGAUCAAAGUGAGAUCAAAGUGUCUAAGGUUGAAGCUUCAGUGAAAGUUGAAACUUUCGUGAAAGUUGAGGCUUUACGUUUAAAUUCUGAUGUGUCCAAACUUUGUGACAACGAAAUGGACACAACUCAAUUCUUUUCAAGCCAAUAUACAGGGAAAGAUAAAGAUGAAUUGUAAAGCAACGAGAUCAAGAAAAUGUGGGUGUUUGUUCAAGAUUUGUGGAUAUGUUAUUCAGGAAUUAAACGCUUGGAAGUUGGCUAUUCUUAAUGGAAUUCACAACCAUGAGAUGUUUCCAUAUUUAGAUGGGCACCUUCUUGCAAGAAGAUUAAUGGAGGACGACAAGAAGAUUGUACGUGACUUGACCAAAAGUUCGGUAAAGUCAAAUAAUAUUGAGAAUUUUGAAGGGAAAAAGAGAGUCAAUGACAAAUAUAAAGCCACUAUACAAUGAACGUCAUAAAUUCAAAAAGGUAAUAAGAGGUGACAUGACGAAGAUGUAAUAUCUAGUGUCAAAGUUGGAAGAGUCCAAACAUGCUUAUUUCAUACGAUAAAAAUGUGAGAGUGAUACUAUUCAAGACAUAUUUUUUGAGCUCACCCACAAUCAUUUAAGUUGUUUAACAAUUUUCCGACUGUUUUGAUCAUGAAUUUCACAUACAAAACCAACUUGUACAUGAUGCCAUUGUUUGAGAUAGUUGAAAUCAACUCAACUGAUAUGACAUAUUCGGUUUCUUUUGUGUUUAUGAUAGGUGAGAAGGAGAAUAACUUUACCCGGGCUUUGCAGAUGUUGCUUAAACUUCUUAAGUCAAAGAGUGAUAUGCUUAAGGUGGUUGUGAAUGAUAGAGAUACGACUUUGAUGAAUGCCAUACCAACUGUUAUCCCUGAAACUAGUGCAAUACUUUCUUAUUUUCUUGUUGGAAGAAAUGUUAGAGAAAAAAUCAUCAUAUAUUGUAGAGUGAAACUAAAGGUUGUCAAAGUGGAUGGGAAAGAGAAGCUUGUCACCGAGGUGAAACCAAGUGAUAUAGUUGAGACCAUAUUUAGAGCAUGGAAAAAUGUGGUUGAAUCUUCAACUCUCAAGAGUCAUAUGCAAGUAAUGUAAUGCAAUUAUGAGAUGUUUGUGAAAAAUUUCCAAAGUUUCUUGACUAUGUUCAAAGUACCAUUUUGGACACUGUUAAGGAAAAAAUAGUGAGGGCAUGGACAUACCGUGUGUUGCAUCUUGGGUGCAGAAUCACCAACAAAGAUAAAAGGGCUCAUGGUAGAGUGAAGAAAAUUCAUGAGACCAUUUAUUGAUAAAAUUGUAGAUGUUAGAGUCGAUGGAAAUUGUGGGUUUAAGGCUAUAUAGCUCAGACUAUGGGUUUGACGGAAGAAAUUCAUGUUAUGGUGCGGAGAGUCGAGAGGUGAAAGAGCAUAGGAACCACUACAUGCGGAUAUAUGGGGGUGAAAACUGUUAUAAUUAUAUCUUGAAUUGAUUGCACCCUCCUUAAAAUGGUAGUGGUUGACAUUGCCGGAUAUGAGUCACAUCGUUGCAACUUAUUACAAUAGGCUUGUGGUGGAGAUAACUAGCGUUGAAAUUAGAAUUUCGGAUACUUUUUACCUAAUUAGAGGCAGACCUCCGAUUAACCCGAAAAGCCGCAUCAUGUGUCUUGGGUUUAAUCCCAAAUCAUUUUGUUCUUCUUGUUUUGAAAGAUGAUUACCCACUACUGCCCACUACCUCCAUCAUCUACGGAGUGAAAGCUACACAAAGAGGCAGCUUCAUCGAAAUUUGAGUUUUUGGAUCAACAUGAUCACUUCCAAAGACUGGUAAAAUUUGAAAGAGGAGACAAACCGUCAUCACCCAAAUAAGAAUCAAAAUGAGCCAGUCCAAAUUUGUGUGACAGUCCUGAAAAAGAAAAUGAAGAAUUUGAAGUUAUUGCGGAACAUAAGAUGAUUCAAUUUCAUUAGAUGAAAUAUGACACUUUUUUGUCUGUGUUCAUUAUUUAUUUUUUGGUCGAUAGACAUCAACGUAUAUUUUUUUGGAUAUAUAAUGUAACGCCUUUUUUUGUGGUCAAUAUUUAACUAACAUUUUAUAUUGUGUACAAAACACCGACAUUUUACUUGGUUAUUAAUGUUCUGCAUUUAUUAUAAAUAUAUGUUUACGUUUUCACAUUAAUGUACUUUACCUUUCAUUUUGUUUUAUUCUGAUAUUUCCUUUUUUUUGUUAACUUAUGUGAAGGUCAACAUGUCUCAAAAUGCAAAAAUUGAAGGUCAUGUAUGACAUUCCAUUUUCAAGAUGAUGAUUAAAGCUUUCUUAACUCCGACCGACAAUUUAGAUGACUUGAAGGCAUUGUGUUUCAUGGUGAAGAUUAUUGUAAAUAUCAUGUAUUUGUACAUGUACCGUGUAGAUCUUAGGGUAGACAAAGACGAAGACAUGUGAAAAACAAUUUAUUAUCCUCCGGUUAUUUGUGACGAUAGCGACGUAGGAUUUAUGUUUAGGAUGAUGGCUGAAAAUAACGUGUUACAUCUCUGUGUUUGUUCCAACUACAGGUGCCUAGCAUGUUGAGGGGUGAUUUGAUGCCAUUUAGUGUAAUGCGUUGCAUAAUGCUUCACUUUUGUUGAAUUUCAAACAUUUGUGUAACGUUAACGUAUUUUCACAUUUGUGUAAUGUUAAUGAAUCAUUGAUAAACUAUGUAAAGUUGUUUAAUACUUGGUGGUUGUUGUUUUGGUUCAAUUUCAUCUGGAAUUGCCGUUUGAAAUUACAGGUAAAAACAGACCGAAAAUAGUUGGUGUAAGAAUGUAGAUUGCAUUGUCUGCAUUUCCUUAUGUGAGCGAUAGUUAAAUGUUACUGAUUCCUCAAUGGUAAUUAACUACUGCUAGGGGUAGUUGAGUAAUUUUCAUAUGUGUUUAGGAAAUAUUUGAUAUGAGAAAAGCAAUUUUCUUCCAAUACAUAUUACAAGCCUGAUAAGGGCCCAAUUUAUAGCCUAGAGCCUUAGACAAAUCAUUAAACUCAUAUUACAAGGAACUAAUGAGCAAAUUCCAAGAGUUUGUAACCUUUUUUUCAUACGGCAUAAUGUGCAUGGUCGUGCUAAUGAAGUGCAUGACCGUGCUUCACUUUCAAAUUCUUUCUAAAUUUUGCUGACUCAAGGGCGCACGACCACAACAUAAUGAGCACGACCAAUGCAAAGUUGAUCACGACCAUUAUGAUUAAAAAAAAAAAAACUGGCAUAUGUUCUCGACCAAUCAGAAAUCACAUGUUAACAUAUGGCACAACAUACACCGCCUUAAGACUCCGCGCCUGAAGGAGCACGCUAGCUUAAAUGCACAACGCCACACAAUCGUGCCCCCGCACCAGGAUCACCAUACACGUGUCCUCCUCGAUCCCUAAUCACACGCGGCAUAACCAUAGCGGUUAUGACCAAUGCGCCUAUAUAAAGGUGAACUUGCUUCACCCUCGAGGCAUGAUUCACUUUUCACAACUCUUUCUCAGUUCCAUUACUGACUUGAACAUCAGAGUGCUGCUAACAUGCCUGCAUGCACCUUUCGUUCCACCACGAAGACUCAUCGCCGUCGCCGUGCCGAAAGCCUUAUCAUCACCGGAGCAUUAUUUGUCGCCGUCACCAGUCAUCCGCUCUCACCGGCCACUUUUUCCCCCUUUUCUCUCUCUUUCUAGCCAUCCUUGCUCUUUUUUUUUUUUUUUUUCUUUUUUCUUUUUUUCUGUUACCCUUGUUGUUGGUCUUGAUCCAAUGCAUUGUUUUUCAUUUUUUUUAUUCUAAAAACAAAACUAAUACUUGUAAAAUAGCUCUAAACAAAUUAAAAAGUGGUGAAAAGAGAUGAAUUUAACUUUUUAAAAGUUAAAAUAUUGUUAGAUUCAUUGUAAACAUACUAUUUUUUUUUAAUUUCUUUAACAAGGGCAUCAUAACCUUAUAAUUGUAAGAGUUAAGACAGCUGAAUCGAGCCUAUAAGUUGCUUUGAUUAUAAAAAUUUGUUACAAUUGGUACAAUUUUUUAAUUGUCUACCUCCAGUGGAUUGUUCCAUCUAAAGCAAAAAAAGGUUUGAACGUAGCUAAUAACCUAAAAUAUGAAAACCCAAUUUCUAAAGUUGGUACAUUUGCAAAAUUAAUAUUAUAUCUAACAGUGUUUUCUUUUCUUUUUAUCAAACAGUAUGAAAUAGAAAACAGAAUUGGGAUAAAUAAAUUGAUCAAUGAUACAUUAAAAACAUAAAACUUGUCUUAACAUAGCUUAGUUCCUUCUCUUACCAUGGUACAAAAGAAAAGUAAAAAUCCCUUCCAAACUUAAUUCUUUGCCCUCCCUAACCAAUGGUUUUCUAAAGACUGCUACAUCCUGUGAUCAUGUUACUAGAUCACCAUCAGAUACUCAUCGGACUAUGCGAAAAAACUAAAUGAGACAAGUAGGCCAACCGGGACAAAUGUGGUUCUGGCAUAACAAAUAGAGUACUUUCUGCUAUAACAAAGAGCGUACACCAUUUAAAGAGGAAGUUAAUUGACACUUGAAAUCCUCAGGCUGCCAAAAACUCAUCAUCCUACAACAGAACGGAGAGAUUACAACAGAAUCUUGUUCUACUAUUACUCUAGUCAUCAUAGCCAAUUGAAAGAUAACGAAAAAAAUAGACGUUUAGUCUGAAGCUACCUCUGUGGUAAUAUCAUCCGCAACUUCCGCAACCCAUGUAGAUUCGUAAGCGAGGAGUCCGGACACCACCUUUGUUAAUAGUAAAGUAUACACAAACCAUUCGAUAAAACUCACAACCAAGAUCGGUGCUGUUGAGGAAGGAAAAAGGAUAGGAGACUACCAAACUUAAGCAAAGAGGUUGCAAACAAACAUAAUGCACGGACACAAGCGACCUACAUAUGCAAUGACAAUGAGAAAAUACAAUAAACCAACCCAAGCAGAAUGCACAAAGCAUAUGUAACUCAGUAGAAAUCACCUUUGACAUACUGUUUGAUCUGUACUAAACAGAAGUAUAACUAUGCUUGUGCUUUUAUCAAAAGUGGUAUAGAAAAGCUCCCCCAAACUAAGACGCCAACAUCCAAAUACUAAGAGCCGACCCAAGCUGUCCAAAACUCUAGAAUCCCAUUUUUCCUAACAUAGAUCACCGAAAAAGGAAGGUCAAAUUCAUAGAGGAUAAAUACUCCAAAACUGAACCCAAAUUGAAAAAAAAAAAUAUCUACAACUCCCACCAAAUCUCUCAGAACAUUAAUGUACUCUAUCCAAGACUAACAAACCAAACAAAGAAACAAUGCACUCUCCAUCAAACUUUCCAAAUUGUUGUUCCUUACCAAAGUUAUACGAGGAAAUUGUUGUUAUUCUAAAGCUCUUCUUAUACCCAGAUUCCUGAUAAACAACACACAAAUCAACAUUACCACAUGACACCAUGAAAAGAAAACAAUUCCAAUCCAGAAAAAUUAUUCAAGGAAAAAUAAACGGUUUAAACCCAGAUCUCAAAGCAAGUCCUGAAUACCACAACUUAUACCAUCCCACAUUACAUUCAUAGGCUAUCGCAGAACUUCUUAUUCUCGCCAUAGCUUUUGCAGUCCCAUCCCCCUAUAACAGACACAUGGAACUUAAGGAAUCAAGAAAACUAAAUUCCUAAGAGACACCCGUGACGAAUUAGUAUUUAGAGUGGAGAUCACCAAGUGGAAGUAUACCGAAUAGUCAGAAUUAAGUCACAGCUAAUUGCAGAUUUCUGCUCCAUGUGCAACAACAUAAAUUUAUGAUUCCUUGCUGUGACAAAGAUAUACAGAUUUGGUGGAAAAGAUUCUUAUUCUCAUAUAUCACAGAUAACAAAAAGAAUGGCAGAUUUCGAGAACAAAUAAACUCCAAACCAGGCGGUUCAGAAUAAAUAGUAUGUUAACCUUUGGCUUCCACAGAUCACAGCACACCAAAUAUUCAUAGUCUGUUCAAAAGAACCAAGGGAAGUUGAAGAGUCUCAAACAAAGACAGUUAUCUUCAAUUUCUCCACUUUCCAGAUACUAUUGAAAAGGUGCAGUGUGAUUGAGAAAGAAGUUAACAUUUGUGGUACACCAAACCCAUGUAACACUAACCCUGUUAACACCAGAUGAAAAUGUACAGAAAAUUAUGCUGUAACAAAUAGGUUGCAACAAAAAGAACUAAGAGAGAAAGAAUAGCAGCCUGAUUCCUCUAAUCAAGUUGAAGAUCAGCAGCAUAACAAAGAGCGGCCCCAUCAAGCUAUCCCAGCAUCUCUAGAAUGGCAUAAACUUUGCACUGUUGAAAGAAGUAGUAUUGAUAGCAACAACUUCUAAGGGUGAUCUUCUCAAUUGAACAUCAAUAAAAAUCGGCAAAAAAGAAAGGAACCAAACUGAAUGUUACUGUUUUUUAACACACAACAUUGCAUCAAAACAACAUAUUUUCAAUUUAACAUGUAUGAAAAUAAAAGUCAGAACCAAAUCAUUUACUGUUUAUACAAAUGAUUUGUUAGAGAAAUUCAAGGUUGUUUUUUUAUUUAUAUCAAACUGUUUCUUCCUAUGUGUGUUAUUGAAUGAAUUAUGAAGGAGUUGCCUCAACAUGUUAAAUUUUGAGAAAAUGCAAGUCAUGUUGACUAUCCUUGAACUUCUUUUAGCAAGUCUUUUUUAAGCACAUCGUUCCUGUUCUUGUUUUGAACAAAGUAGGUAUAAAAAAAAAUUAAGAGAGAACCUCAAAACAAAAUCUGGCUAAACCACAACAACUUCAAACACAAAUCUAAAAACAUGAGUAAGUGCCUAAAGCUCAGACCGAAUCCUAGCAAUGCAUCAAACUUCCUAACCUUUGCACUAGAAACGUACCAAAAUUCAAUAUGUGGACUAAUGCUUCCGCAAUUUCCUAGUCCACUGCAUUGUCUAUUUCUCGAAUGCAGCUACGAAGCUUAAUCCACCGCAUCAUGGGUAAUGAGAUACCUGAAAACAAGUAUAAAAUUUCAUUUCAAUUCAACAUGGCCUCAUCCAACUAGUAAGACAUCAUAUUAGCACAUAUGGAUAGAGCACCAAGCAUAUCAUGCACUACUACUACCUAUAUUGUUAAUCUCAAAUAGCACCGAGUGAAACUGACAAAGGCGCUUCGAGGGCCUUGGGUGGGACAGUGGGGGAUGUGUGACUAUGCCACACCGCCAUAGCACGCUACUAACAUCAUAGAGAACAUUUAGAGUAUGUUCAAUGACCAAACAAUUACUAAUAAUCACAAUCUAUUUUAUUAAAUAUUUCAUCAAUCACCUGAUAUAAAAAUAAAUAAACAACCCAUCAUAAAAUUUCAUAAACAACGAAGACGCCCUUCUUGACAGAUUCAUCACAAACAAGUAAUUGAGGAGAAAACUGAGAAAAUGAAUACCUUUUCUGUCAUUCUUCCGGAUGCCUUCUUCAAAGUAACAUUCGCGAAUGUCGAUCCAAAUUUGUUUCUUCCAAGACUUCACGCAAACCAUCUUGUGUCCAUCUUUUGAGGAACCAAGAUCACAGACAACGAUUUCGUCGUCGGGAUCAGAUUUCGUCCAUCUUUUGAGUGCAUAUUCAGAAUCCGAUCCCGACGACGAAAUCGUUGUCUUUGAUCUUGGUUCCUCAAAAGAUGGACACAAGAUAGUUUGCGUGAAAUCUUGGAAGAAACAAAUUCGGAUCGACAUUCUCGAGAAUGUCGCUUUGAAGAUGGCAUUCGUAAGAAUGGUAGAAAAGGUAUUUCAAUUCAUUUUCUCAGUUUUCUCCUCAAUUACUUGUUUGUGAUGAAUCUGUCAAGUAGGGCGUCUUCAUUGUUUAUGAAAUUUUAUGAUGGGUUGUUUAUUUAUUUUUAUAUCAGGUGAUUGAUGAAAUAUUUAAUAGAAUAGAUUGUGAUUAUUAGUAACUGUUUGCUCAUUGAACAUACUUUAAAUGUUGUCUAUUGUUAGUAGCGUGCUAUGGCGGUGUGGCAUAGUCACACAUCCCCCACUGUCCCACCCAAGGCCCUCGAAGCGCCUUUGUCAGUUUCACUCGGUGCUAUUUGAGAUUAACAAUAUAGGUAGUAGUAGUGCAUGAUAUGCUUGGUGCUCGAUCCAUAUGUACUAUAUGUGCUAAUAUGAUGUCUUACUAGUUGGAUAAGGCCAUCUUGAAUUGAAAUGAAGAAUUUGCAAUGAAAUUUUAUACUUGUUUUCAGGUAUCUCAUUACCCAUGAUGCAGUGGAUUCGAGAAAUAGACAAUGCAGUGGACAAAGAACUUAGGAAAUUGCGGAAGCAUUAGUCCACAUAUUGAAUUUUGGUACGUUUCUAGUGCGAAGGUUAGGAAGUUUGAUGCAUUGCUAGGAUUCGGUCUGAGCUUUAGGCACCCCCUCAUGUUUUUAUAUUUGUGUUUGAAGUUGUUGUGGUUUAGCCAGAUUUUGUUUUGAGGUUCUCUCCUAAUUUUUUAUACUUACUUUGUUCAAAACAAGAACAGGAAGGAUGUGCUUAAAAAAGACUUGCUAAAAGAAGUUCAAGGAUAGUCAACAUGACUUGCAUUUUCUCAAAAUUUUCAACAUGUUGAGGCAACUCCUUCAUAAUUCAUUCAAUAACACACAUAGGAAGAAACAGUUUGAUAUAAAUAAAAAAACAACCUUGAAUUUCUCUAACAAAUCAUUUGUAUAAACAGUAAAGUGCAAAGUUGUGUGUUAAAAUAGAAAAGGAUUAUAGCAGAGGAAGGGACAAAUCAACAAAGUAAAGUGUCAAACCAGUCCAGAAUUCUUAUAUGCUUCAUACUCACUCCUGAUACAGAUCAACAAAAACUUGACACUUGCAAGAAACCAUAAGAGGACACCGCUAGAAAAUUACCAUUUUUAUCCCAAGGCUGAAUGGAACCUCGCUUCCUGCCACAUUUAUAGGUUUCUCCUCCGUAUCACACACAUAAAACUCAAAUACAGGAGUCCUUGGGCCACUGUAAUGAAGAUGACAUCUUCAUAAAUUACAAAUAUCAAUGAAAACUACGUUGAUCAUAGAAACAAGAUAAGUAGUACAAACAAAAGGACAGAGACACUCAUCUCCGCCAAUUUCUCCCUAAGUUCAGAUCGCCAAAUUAAUCCUAGCAACAGUUGAAAACAUAAAUCAUGUUGUUAAUUAGUUGACAGAAGAUAAGUAGUACAAAUGGAGGCACUCCACCAAUUUCUCGCUAAAUUCAGAUUGCCAAAUCAAUCCUAGCAAUAGACUAAAACGUAUAUCAAAUCAUGUAUUAAUUAGUUGACAGAAGUUAAGUAGUACAAAAGAUAGAGGCACUCAUCUCCACCAAUUUCUCCCCAAGUCCAGAUUGCCAAAUCAAUCCUAGCAACAGUUGAAAUUUUAUGUCAAGUCACGUAUUCUUGUUAAUUACGUAUAUCAAAUCAUUUAUCCUUGUUAAUUAGUUGACAGAAGAUAAAUAGUACAAAGGAAAGAGGCACUAAUCACCAAUUUCUCCCUAUGUUCAGAUUGGCAACUCAAUCCUAUCAACAGUCGAAAGUCUAUAUCAAAUCAAAUAUCCUUUUUAUAAGUAAGUAGCACAAACCAAUUUCUCCAUUUCAGAAGGAAAACUUAAAAGUGAAAUGUGAUUGGAGACUUCUGUUGCACUUCAAACCUAUGUAACACUUAACCAUGACAAACAGACGGAAGAUAGUUUAAAUCUCCAAACCAAGCCGUUGUUAGACAUAUCAGAACUCCAGCUAUGUUUCCAAGUUCCACAAAACAUAACUGUUACCUAUUACUCAAACCUUAAACACAAAACAACAUCUGUUGACGAUUAAUAAUACUUGCUGUAACAUAGAAAUUAGAGAACAAUCAAUUAUAACCCAAACAAACUAAACAAUCAGAUCAUUACAUAAGAACUGCAAACAUCAGUCUACCAAAGAAUCAACCAUAAAAGAAUAACAUGAGGAUCAAACAAGAGAAUGAUAGAUAGAAUCGUAAGAAAUCAUACAUAGAUUAUUGCUCCUGCAACACCAAAGAGUAACUAAUCAAGAAAUAUUCACUCUCAGAGUAGUUAAAGAAAUAUUGAAAACAAAUAGAUUAUGAUAGAUAUCACCAAAUAAAUACACUAGGCUCUAUGCUGCGAAGGAAGUCAUCGGUUUGACAAACCGUGCUGCAGACAAAAAUGUUCAAAAUUCAAUGUUUAUAAAUACACUAGGCUCUAUGCCUUGCUAUCAAAUCCCANGAAGUCAUCGGUUUGACAAACCGUGCUGCAGACAAAAAUGUUCAAAAUUCAAUGUUUAUAAAUACACUAGGCUCUAUGCCUUGCUAUCAAAUCCCAAAAAAAUUUAAAUAAUAAAGGACUCAUUAAAGAAAAAUCGUGUUCCCCCGUUCUUGUCCAUUACAUCAAGUCUCCUAGAUUUCAAGACUUCCCUGCUAACAGUACAACGGAUAAACGAAUCUUCGAUUAUCAAAGGAAGACUUAUAUCGAAAAAUAACAUAAAUAGAAAGAAAGAAAAGAAAAACAUGACAGAGUGUGAAAUAUAUGCUCUCAGUAGCAUUGAAGGGAUGAAUUUACUAGAUAGAGAUCACCAGAAAAAUACUCAAGGCUCCAUACUCAGAAGGACUUAGACACACCAAGCUGCAGAAAAAGCAUGUUCACAGUUCAACUCUUCUCAUAAUCAAUAGCUUGAUAUUAAAAACAAAUAAAGAAUGAAUCACUGAAGAAAUUUGAUUUAUCUAUUUGAAGCCACUCUGUUCAUAUCCGUUGUGUCAAGAAUCGUAAAAUGUUUCUAGUUUUCAAGAAUUCUGCCACCUGCUGCAAAAUGGUUAAACAUAUAUCUCGAUUAUCUAAUUUAACGAAAGUAAGAAAACCUAAAUGAGAUUACAUCAAAGCAGAGUCUCAAUUUCUCCAAAAUUGUGUAAACUAUCACACUGUCAGAUUACAUCAAAAACCAAAAUUUAAGGAAUCAGCAGUAUGAUGGUGUUAGAAAACCUAAAGUUGAACUUCUGAGAUAUAACCAAGAGGAAGAUCAAUAGAACCAGAGUAUGUUCAACGAUCACUUCUCCUGCAACAUGGAAGAGUAAAUAACAAAAAAAAAAAACAAAAAAAAAAAAGGAAAUAGGGUGUCAAUAAUUUUUUUUUAUAAAAUGUGAAGAAUUUAAUAGAGAUCACCGAAUAAAAAUGCUAGGCUCCAUGCCAUGAAGACAACUAUGCUGCAGGAAAAUAUGUUCAAAAUUCAAUUCGUACGUCUUGCAAUUGAAUGCCAGAAAUUAAAAUAAUAAAGAAUGGCUCAAUAAAGAAAUUUGAUAUUUAUCUAUCUGGAGCUGUUGUUCUUUUCAGGUGUAUAAAAACUUUCUAGAUAAUGCAGACUUUACAGCUCACUGCAAGAUGGAUAAAUGCAUCGCCAGAUUAUCAAAUGAAGAAUUAUAUCCCAAAAAAUACAGAGACAUGUUUUGAUAACGAAUUUGUAAACAAAGAGUCAAGAGAAGAGUUAAAAUUCAUGACAUCUAUGCUCACGUUUAGCAGGAGAACCCUGAAAUCGAGCAAUCAUGGAGCAAACAGGUUAAGAAAACCAGAAACGAAAGAAAGUUUGAACAAGAAUAAACAAACUUCAGAAUCAAGAAAUCGGAAUCAUAUCCUCUCAUGUAACACCAAAAAGUAAAUUAACANCGGAAAAGAUUCUUAUUCUCAUAUAUCACAGAUAACAAAAAGAAUGGCAGAUUUCGAGAACAAAUAAACUCCAAACCAGGCGAUUCAGAAUAAAUAGUAUGUUAACCUUUGGCUUCCACAGACCACAGCAGACCAAAUAUUCAUAGUCUGUUCAAAAGAACAGAGGGAAGUUGAAGAGUCUCAAACAAAGACAGUUAUCUUCAAUUUCUCCACUUUCCAGACACUAUUGAAAAGGUGCAGUGUGAUUGAGAAAGAAUUAACAUUUGUGGUACACCAAACCCAUGUAACACUAACCCUGUUAACACCAGAUGAAAAUGUACAGAAAAUUAUGCUGUAACAAAUAGGUUGCAACAAAAAGAACUAAGAGAGAAAGAAUAGCAGCCUGAUUCCUCUAAUCAAGUUGAAGAUCAGCAGCAUAACAAAGAGCGGCCCCAUCAAGCUAUCCCAGCAUCUCUAGAAUGGCAUAAACUUUGCACUGUUGAAAGAAGUAGUAUUGAUAGCAACAACUUCUAAGGGUGAUCUUCUCAAUUGAACAUCAAUAAAAAUCGGCAAAAAAGAAAGGAACCAAACUGAAUGUUACUGUUUUUUAACACACAACAUUGCAUCAAAACAACAUAUUUUCAAUUUAACAUGUAUGAAAAUAAAAGUCAGAACCAAAUCAUUUACUGUUUAUACAAAUGAUUUGUUAGAGAAAUUCAAGGUUGUUUUUUUAUUUAUAUCAAACUGUUUCUUCCUAUGUGUGUUAUUGAAUGAAUUAUGAAGGAGUUGCCUCAACAUGUUAAAUUUUGAGAAAAUGCAAGUCAUGUUGACUAUCCUUGAACUUCUUUUAGCAAGUCUUUUUUAAGCACAUCCUUCCUGUUCUUGUUUUGAACAAAGUAGGUAUAAAAAAAAAUUAAGAGAGAACCUCAAAACAAAAUCUGGCUAAACCACAACAACUUCAAACACAAAUCUAAAAACAUGAGUUAGUGCCUAAAGCUCAGACCGAAUCCUAGCAAUGCAUCAAACUUCCUAACCUUUGCACUAGAAACGUACCAAAAUUCAAUAUGUGGACUAAUGCUUCCGCAAUUUCCUAGUCCACUGCAUUGUCUAUUUCUCGAAUGCAGCUACGAAGCUUAAUCCACCGCAUCAUGGGUAAUGAGAUACCUGAAAACAAGUAUAAAAUUUCAUUUCAAUUCAACAUGGCCUCAUCCAACUAGUAAGACAUCAUAUUAGCACAUAUGGAUAGAGCACCAAGCAUAUCAUGCACUACUACUACCUAUAUUGUUAAUCUCAAAUAGCACCGAGUGAAACUGACAAAGGCGCUUCGAGGGCCUUGGGUGGGACAGUGGGGGAUGUGUGACUAUGCCACACCGCCAUAGCACGCUACUAACAUCAUAGAGAACAUUUAGAGUAUGUUCAAUGACCAAACAAUUACUAAUAAUCACAAUCUAUUUUAUUAAAUAUUUCAUCAAUCACCUGAUAUAAAAAUAAAUAAACAACCCAUCAUAAAAUUUCAUAAACAACGAAGACGCCCUUCUUGACAGAUUCAUCACAAACAAGUAAUUGAGGAGAAAACUGAGAAAAUGAAUACCUUUUCUGUCAUUCUUCCGGAUGCCUUCUUCAAAGUAACAUUCGCGAAUGUCGAUCCAAAUUUGUUUCUUCCAAGACUUCACGCAAACCAUCUUGUGUCCAUCUUUUGAGGAACCAAGAUCACAGACAACGAUUUCGUCGUCGGGAUCAGAUUUCGUCCAUCUUUUGAGUGCAUAUUCAGAAUCCGAUCCCGACGACGAAAUCGUUGUCUUUGAUCUUGGUUCCUCAAAAGAUGGACACAAGAUAGUUUGCGUGAAAUCUUGGAAGAAACAAAUUCGGAUCGACAUUCUCGAGAAUGUCGCUUUGAAGAUGGCAUUCGUAAGAAUGGUAGAAAAGGUAUUUCAAUUCAUUUUCUCAGUUUUCUCCUCAAUUACUUGUUUGUGAUGAAUCUGUCAAGUAGGGCGUCUUCAUUGUUUAUGAAAUUUUAUGAUGGGUUGUUUAUUUAUUUUUAUAUCAGGUGAUUGAUGAAAUAUUUAAUAGAAUAGAUUGUGAUUAUUAGUAACUGUUUGCUCAUUGAACAUACUUUAAAUGUUGUCUAUUGUUAGUAGCGUGCUAUGGCGGUGUGGCAUAGUCACACAUCCCCCACUGUCCCACCCAAGGCCCUCGAAGCGCCUUUGUCAGUUUCACUCGGUGCUAUUUGAGAUUAACAAUAUAGGUAGUAGUAGUGCAUGAUAUGCUUGGUGCUCGAUCCAUAUGUACUAUAUGUGCUAAUAUGAUGUCUUACUAGUUGGAUAAGGCCAUCUUGAAUUGAAAUGAAGAAUUUGCAAUGAAAUUUUAUACUUGUUUUCAGGUAUCUCAUUACCCAUGAUGCAGUGGAUUCGAGAAAUAGACAAUGCAGUGGACAAAGAACUUAGGAAAUUGCGGAAGCAUUAGUCCACAUAUUGAAUUUUGGUACGUUUCUAGUGCGAAGGUUAGGAAGUUUGAUGCAUUGCUAGGAUUCGGUCUGAGCUUUAGGCACCCCCUCAUGUUUUUAUAUUUGUGUUUGAAGUUGUUGUGGUUUAGCCAGAUUUUGUUUUGAGGUUCUCUCCUAAUUUUUUAUACUUACUUUGUUCAAAACAAGAACAGGAAGGAUGUGCUUAAAAAAGACUUGCUAAAAGAAGUUCAAGGAUAGUCAACAUGACUUGCAUUUUCUCAAAAUUUUCAACAUGUUGAGGCAACUCCUUCAUAAUUCAUUCAAUAACACACAUAGGAAGAAACAGUUUGAUAUAAAUAAAAAAACAACCUUGAAUUUCUCUAACAAAUCAUUUGUAUAAACAGUAAAGUGCAAAGUUGUGUGUUAAAAUAGAAAAGGAUUAUAGCAGAGGAAGGGACAAAUCAACAAAUUAAAGUGCCAAACCAGUCCAGAAUUCAACAAAUUAAAGUGCCAAACCAGUCCAGAAUUCUUAUAUGCUUCAUACUCACUCCUGAUACAGAUCAACAAAAACUUGACACUUGCAAGAAACCAUCAGAGGACACCGCUAGAAAUUACCAUUUUUAUCCCAAGGCUGAAUGGAACCUCGCUUCUUGCCACAUUUAUAGGUUUCUCCUUCGUAUCACACACAUAAAACUCAAAUACAGAGGAGUCCUUGGGCCACUGUAAUGAAGAGGACAUCUUCAUAAAUUACAAAUAUCAAUGAAAACUACGUUGAUCAUAGAAACAAGAUAAGUAGUACAAACAAAAGGACAGAGACACUCAUCUCCGCCAAUUUCUCCCUAAGUUUAGAUCGCCAAAUAAAUCCUAGCAACAGUUGAAAACAUAAAUCAUGUUGUUAAUUAGUUGACAGAAGAUAAGUAGUACAAAUGGAGGCACUCAACUCCACCAAUUUCUCGCUAAAUUCAGAUUGCCAAAUCAAUCCUAGCAAUAGACGAAAACGUAUAUCAAAUCAUGUAUUAAUUAGUUGACAGAAGUUAAGUAGUACAAAAGAUAGAGGCACUCAUCUCCACCAAUUUCUCCCCAAGUCCAGAUUGCCAAAUCAAUCCUAGCAACAGUUGAAAUUUUAUGUCAAGUCACGUAUUCUUGUUAAUUACGUAUAUCAAAUCAUUUAUCCUUGUUAAUUAGUUGACAGAAGAUAAGUAGUACAAAGGAAAGAGGCACUAAUCACCAAUUUCUCCCUAUGUUCAGAUUGGCAACUCAAUCCUAUCAACAGUCGAAAGUCUAUAUCAAAUCAAAUAUCCUUUUUAUAAGUAAGUAGCACAAACCAAUUUCUCCAUUUCAGAAGGAAAACUUAAAAGUGAAAUGUGAUUGGAGACUUCUGUUGCACUUCAAACCUAUGUAACACUUAACCAUGACAAACAGACGGAAGAUAGUUUAAAUCUCCAAACCAAGCCGUUGUUAGACAUAUCAGAACUCCAGCUAUGUUUCCAAGUUCCACAAAACAUAACUGUUACCUAUUACUCAAACCUUAAACACAAAACAACAUCUGUUGACGAUUAAUAAUACUUGCUGUAACAGAGAAAUUAGAGAACAAUCAAUUAUAACCCAAACAAACUAAACAAUCAGAUCAUUACAUAAGAACUGCAAACAUCAGUCUACCAAAGAAUCAACCAGAAAAGAAUAACAUGAGGAUCAAACAAGAGAAUGAUAGAUAGAAUCGUAAGAAAUCAUACAUAGAUUAUUGCUCCUGCAACACCAAAGAGUAACGAAUCAAGAAAUAUUCACUCUCAGAGUAGUUAAAGAAAUAUUGAAAACAAAUAGAUUAUGAUAGAUAUCACCAAAUAAAUACACUAGGCUCUAUGCUGCGAAGGAAGUCAUCGGUUUGACAAACCGUGCUGCAGACAAAAAUGUUCAAAAUUCAAUGUUUAUAAAUACACUAGGCUCUAUGCCUUGCUAUCAAAUCCCAAAAAAAUUUAAAUAAUAAAGGACUCAUUAAAGAAAAAUCGUGUUCCCCCGUUCUUGUCCAUUACAUCAAGUCUCCUAGAUUUCAAGACUUCCCUGCUAACAGUACAACGGAUAAACGAAUCUUCGAUUAUCAAAGGAAGACUUAUAUCGAAAAAUAACAUAAAUAGAAAGAAAGAAAAGAAAAACAUGACAGAGUGUGAAAUAUAUGCUCUCAGUAGCAUUGAAGGGAUGAAUUUACUAGAUAGAGAUCACCAGAAAAAUACUCAAGGCUCCAUACUCAGAAGGACUUAGACACACCAAGCUGCAGAAAAAGCAUGUUCACAGUUCAACUCUUCUCAUAAUCAAUAGCUUGAUAUUAAAA